rnacentral:misc_RNA from 1 species
AUAAUAAUUAAACACAAAUUAACACAAUCACAAACGAGUGAUUUACACUUGCUGUGACAUUGUGAAAAAUGUCAGAAAUAUUUCCACCUAUUGCUGACUGUUCUCUAAUUUCCCUCUAAAAUGACAAAACAACCCCAACACUUACCUUCUCCCACCCCCGGCCUUCGUCUCUUCUCCAUCCCCAUCCCUUCUCUCUCAUAGUCAACUGAUAAAAUCCCAAACCCUCAGUUACAAUCACAGUCAACAACUUCAAUCACAAUCGAAACAGAUUUUCUCCCCAAUGCAUGAACCUUACAAUCCUCCUAUUCUUUGAUUAAUCACUAAUUAGUUGUUGAUGCCUAGACUAAAAGAAUACCAGAACAAUUACUUGCUGAACCGAAUGUUGAUGACUGUUCUAAAUAUCUCACCCCUCUUCUUGUUCACAAUCU